rnacentral:rRNA from 1 species
GACGAACGCUGGCGGCGUGCUUAACACAUGCAAGUCGAACGGUGAAGCUCCAGCUUGCUGGAGUGGAUCAGUGGCGAACGGGUGAGUAACACGUGAGCAACCUGCCCCUGACUCUGGAAUAAGCGCUGGAAACGGCGUCUAAUACUGGAUACGAGAAGGGUCCGCAUGGGCACUUUCUGGAAAGUUUUUCGGUUGGGGAUGGGCUCGCGGCCUAUCAGCUUGUUGGUGAGGUAAUGGCUCACCAAGGCGACGACGGGUAGCCGGCCUGAGAGGGCGACCGGCCACACUGGGACUGAGACACGGCCCAGACUCCUACGGGAGGCAGCAGUGGGGAAUAUUGCACAAUGGGCGAAAGCCUGAUGCAGCGACGCCGCGUGAGGGAUGACGGCCUUCGGGUUGUAAACCUCUUUCAGCAGGGAAGAAGCGAAAGUGACGGUACCUGCAGAAGAAGCACCGGCUAGCUACGUG